UCCUUCUCAGGAUUGCUUCUGGAGAGCUUUCAGUACUUUACCAGUCUUGACUAUGGGAGGGAGAAUCAAGCAGAGGCAUAACCAUUCCAUUCCUAGCUUGGGCAGUGGCUAGCGUAUGGAAGACAAUCUGCUACAAGU